rnacentral:rRNA from 1 species
GACGAACGCUGGCGGCGUGCUUAACACAUGCAAGUCGAACGGAAAGGCUCCAGCUUGCUGGAGUACUCGAGUGGCGAACGGGUGAGUAACACGUGGGUAAUCUGCCCUGCACUCUGGGAUAAGCCUGGGAAACUGGGUCUAAUACUGGAUAUGACCUUUCUCCUUAUGGGGUUUGGUGGAAAGUUUUUUAGUGUAGGAUGAGCCCGCGGCCUAUCAGCUUGUUGGUGGGGUGAUGGCCUACCAAGGCGACGACGGGUAGCCGGCCUGAGAGGGUGAUCGGCCACAUUGGGACUGAGAUACGGCCCAGACUCCUACGGGAGGCAGCAGUGGGGAAUAUUGCACAAUGGGCGGAAGCCUGAUGCAGCGACGCCGCGUGAGGGAUGACGGCCUUCGGGUUGUAAACCUCUUUCAGCAGGGACGAAGCGUAAGUGACGGUACCUGCAGAAGAAGCACCGGCUAACUAUGUG